rnacentral:misc_RNA from 1 species
GUGAAUCAUCGAAUUUUUGAACGCAAAUUGCACUCUCCUCGGAGAGUAUGCCUGUUUGAGGGUCAGCCUAUAAAAAAUCGACGUCGUUGCUGUUUCGCGGCGGCGUUCGUCGGAAAUUGGGUCAUCUUAAAUCCUUUUGAUUUUUGCGAGACAAAAAUUUUUUUUUGUUUUACGAUGGAUUCUAAG